rnacentral:rRNA from 1 species
UGGGGAAUAUUGGGCAAUGGGCGCAAGCCUGACCCAGCAACGCCGCGUGAAGGAAGAAGGCUUUCGGGUUGUAAACUUCUUUUGUCGGGGACGAAACAAAUGACGGUACCCGACGAAUAAGCCACGGCUAACUACGUGCCAGCAGCCGCGGUAAUACGUAGGUGGCAAGCGUUAUCCGGAUUUACUGGGUGUAAAGGGCGUGUAGGCGGGAUUGCAAGUCAGAUGUGAAAACUGGGGGCUCAACCUCCAGCCUGCAUUUGAAACUGUAGUUCUUGAGUGCUGGAGAGGCAAUCGGAAUUCCGUGUGUAGCGGUGAAAUGCGUAGAUAUACGGAGGAACACCAGUGGCGAAGGCGGAUUGCUGGACAGUAACUGACGCUGAGGCGCGAAAGCGUGGGGAGCAAACAGGAUUAGAUACCC